rnacentral:rRNA from 1 species
GGGAUGGGGGUGCUAUACUGCAAGUCGAGCGAGCUGAAUUCAAAGAGUCCCUUCGUGAGUGAUUUGUUGGACGCUAGCGGCGGAUGGGUGAGUAACACGUGGGCAAUCUGCCCUACAGACUGGGAUACCACUUGGAAACAGGUGCUAAUACCGGAUAACAACAUGAAUCGCAUGAUUCAAGUUUGAAAGGCGGCGCAAGCUGUCACUUUAGGAUGAGCCCGCGGCGCAUUAGCUAGUUGGUGGGGUAAAGGCCUACCAAGGCAAUGAUGCGUAGCCGAGUUGAGAGACUGAUCGGCCACAUUGGGACUGAGACACGGCCCAAACUCCUACGGGAGGCAGCAGUAGGGAAUCUUCCACAAUGGACGAAAGUCUGAUGGAGCAACGCCGCGUGAGUGAAGAAGGUUUUCGGAUCGUAAAGCUCUGUUGUUGGUGAAGAAGGAUAGAGGCAGUAACUGGUCUUUAUUUGACGGUAAUCAACCAGAAAGUCACGGCUAACUACGUGCCAGCAGCCGCGGUAAUACGUAGGUGGCAAGCGUUGUCCGGAUUUAUUGGGCGUAAAGCGAGCGCAGGCGGAAUGAUAAGUCUGAUGUGAAAGCCCACGGCUCAACCGUGAAACUGCAUCGGAAACUGUCAUUCUUGAGUGCAGAAGAGGAGAGUGGAACUCCAUGUGUAGCGGUGGAAUGCGUAGAUAUAUGGAACAACACCAGUGCCGAAGGCGACUCUCUGGUCUGCAACUGACGCUGAGGCUCGAAAGCAUGGGUAGCGAACAGGAUUAGAUACCCUGGUAGUCCAUGCCGUAAACGAUGAUCGCUAGGUGUUGGGGACUUUCCGGUCCUCAGUGCCGCAGCAAACGCAUUAGGCGCUCCGCCUGGGGAUUACUACCGCAAGGUUGAAACUCACGGAAUUGACGGGGGCCCGCACAACGGUGGAGCAUGAGCUUAAUUCGAAGCACGCGAAAACCUUACCAGGUCUUGACUCCUGCGACAACUAAAAGAAAGCUUUCCC